GGCAGUGAGUUUCGGCCCUGUUCCGGAUCGUGUCAUAAUUGGAGACUUCAAUGGGUUCUUCAAUGUUGAGUUCGAAUUAUGAGUCCAAUGCAGCCAAGUUCAGUGGAUCUAAUGAAUGACUUCGUAGAAUAGUACUUGGGACGUUAUGACCAACACCUGACGCGACAAUUAUAAUGGUUGGAUCAUGUGUUGUUCGCCUUUUGGUAGACUUUGUUUAUGGCUCGUGUCGCCUGUGACACUUGUAUUCAUGAGCCAGUCUUUUAGUAUGUAUUUAAUAGCUAUGUAAAAGCCUUAA